UCACAUACAUUCAGUCACAUUUUGAGACACAUAAUGCACCUGUACCCUGAUUUUGAAACUUGUUGCUUGAGCUUUAUUUCCACCUGAUGCCCUGUCGAAUAACACAUUAAGAUUUAGAAAUGACACUCUAUAGGCACCACCAAUAUCAUCCAGCACAAAUGUUGAAUUCCUUUCCUCCUGAAUAAAGUCUGAAAACUGUAUUCCCAGUUUACUUUCAGACGUGCUACUUCCUACUCUUCAGUGACAGACCAAACCUGUACCCGGUUCCACUGGCUCCAACUUUUGCUGAUCACCUGUUUUCCUUUAACCAUCCAAACUAUCAUGUAAGUUGACUGUUAUUUUCAACGUCUUGCUAUUUGACACUUGGUCUCCGCACACACGUAAAUUUGU